AUUGAACGCUGGCGGCAGGCCUAACACAUGCAAGUCGGACGGUAGCACAGAGGAGCUUGCUCCUCGGGUGACGAGUGGCGGACGGGUGAGUAAUGUCUGGGGAUCUGCCCGAUAGAGGGGGAUAACCACUGGAAACGGUGGCUAAUACCGCAUAACGUCGCAAGACCAAAGAGGGGGACCUUCGGGCCUCUCACUAUCGGAUGAACCCAGAUGGGAUUAGCUAGUAGGCGGGGUAAUGGCCCACCUAGGCGACGAUCCCUAGCUGGUCUGAGACGAUGACCAGCCACACUGGAACUGAGACACGGGCCAGACUCCUACGGGAGGCAGCAGUGGGGAAUAUUGCACAAUGGGCGCAAGCCUGAUGCAGCCAUGCCGCGUGUAUGAAGAAGGCCUUCGGGUUGUAAAGUACUUUCGGCGGGGAGGAAGGCGGCGCGGUUAAUAACCGCGCCGAUUGACGUUACCCGCAGAAGAAGCACCGGCUAACUCCGUGCCAGCCGCCGCGGUAA
rnacentral:rRNA from 1 species